GACGAACGCUGGCGGCGUGCUUAACACAUGCAAGUCGAACGGAAAGGCCCUGCUUUUGUGGGGUGCUCGGGUGGCGAACGGGUGAGUAACACGUGAGUAACCUGCCCUUGAUUUUGGUAUAACUUCAGGAAACUGGGGCUAAUCUCGGAUAGGAGACCAUGUUGCAUGGUGGGGGUUGGAAAGUUUCGGCGGGUGGGGAUGGACUCGCGGCUUAUCAGCUUGCUGGUGGGGUAGUGGCAUACCAAGGCUUUGAAGGGUCGCCGGCCUGAGAGGGUGACCGGGCACAAUGGGACUGAGGUACGGAGCAGAGUGCAACGGGGGGCAGCAGGUGGGAAUAUUACACAGUGGGACGGAGCCUGAGGCGGCGACGCCCGGUUCGGGAUGACGGUCUGCGGGUUGUAAACCGCUUUCGCCUGUGACGAAGCGUUAGUGACGGUAAUGGGUAAAGAAGCACCGGCUAACUACGUG
rnacentral:rRNA from 1 species